GUCCACUUAGGCAGAACACAUACUAAAAUUGGAACUAUCCAGGCAAGAUCAGCAUGGCCUCUAUGCAAGGACGCCAUGCUAAAUUCAUGAAGCAAGCCUUCCAUAUUUAU